GGCGGCGUGCCUAAUACAUGCAAGUAGAACGCUGAAGGAGGAGCUUGCUUCUCUGGAUGAGUUGCGAACGGGUGAGUAACGCGUAGGUAACCUGCCUGGUAGCGGGGGAUAACUAUUGGAAACGAUAGCUAAUACCGCAUAAGAGUAGAUGUUGCAUGACAUUUACUUAAAAGGUGCAAUUGCAUCACUACCAGAUGGACCUGCGUUGUAUUAGCUAGUGGUGAGGUAACGGCUCACCAAGGCAACGAUACAUAGCCGACCUGAGAGGGUGAUCGGCCACACUGGGACUGAGACACGGCCCAGACUCCUACGGGAGGCAGCAGUAGGGAAUCUUCGGCAAUGGACGGAAGUCUGACCGAGCAACGCCGCGUGAGUGAAGAAGGUUUUCGGAUCGUAAAGCUCUGUUGUAAGAGAAGAACGAGUGUGAGAGUGGAAAGGUC
rnacentral:rRNA from 1 species